rnacentral:misc_RNA from 1 species
GCGUUGUAAAAUUUAAUUUUUCGGUCCUUCUGUUAUAGAAAAUGCUAAUGAAUAUGUUAUACCCUAGGUCAGAAGAAAGAGAAUAUUUUUUUUUCCAAAUUUACCUUCAAGACGAAAUAUAUUUUGCUGUCUAUAUGCCCGUCUCUAUCCCGUCUGUUUGUCCUGCUAUUCCACUUCUAAAGCCCUGCACCAUUGCCUUCUCCUCGCCACCACUGCUGCCAUCCGCUCCAUUUUCUCCGCUGUGUCCCUCCCCCUAAGACCUUUCGCUUACUUAGUCACAGCAAUUGAUAACCUCUCCAUUUUCGAAUCCCUAGAUUCCACAGUGAUUGUGGUGUUCUUGUCGUUUGUUUCGAUUGUAGUGCCCUUGGUGAAAGUUUUGGUAGAGUGGCGAAGAGAGAUAGGAUAGGAGCAGCAAGUGUGUGCAGUUUGUUCAAGUGUUU